GACGAACGCUGGCGGCGUGCCUAAUACAUGCAAGUUGAGCGCUGAAGGUUGGUACUUGUACCGACUGGAUGAGCAGCGAACGGGUGAGUAACGCGUGGGGAAUCUGCCUUUGAGCGGGGGACAACAUUUGGAAACGAAUGCUAAUACCGCAUAAAAACUUUAAACACAAGUUUUAAGUUUGAAAGAUGCAAUUGCAUCACUCAAAGAUGAUCCCGCGUUGUAUUAGCUAGUUGGUGAGGUAAAGGCUCACCAAGGCGAUGAUACAUAGCCGACCUGAGAGGGUGAUCGGCCACAUUGGGACUGAGACACGGCCCAAACUCCUACGGGAGGCAGCAGUAGGGAAUCUUCGGCAAUGGACGAAAGUCUGAGCGAGCAACGCCGCGUGAGUGAAGAAGGUUUUCGGAUCGUAAAACUCUGUUGGUAGAGAAGAACGUUGGUGAGAGUGGAAAGCUCAUCAAGUGACGGUAACUACCCAGAAAGGGACGGCUAACUACGUG
rnacentral:rRNA from 1 species